AUUGAACGCUGGCGGCAUGCCUUACACAUGCAAGUCGAACGGUAACGCGGGGCAACCUGGCGACGAGUGGCGAACGGGUGAGUAAUAUAUCGGAACGUGCCCAGUAGUGGGGGAUAGCCCGGCGAAAGCCGGAUUAAUACCGCAUACGACCUACGGGUGAAAGGCGGGGGAUCGCAAGACCUCGCGCUAUUGGAGCGGCCGAUAUCAGAUUAGGUAGUUGGUGGGGUAAAGGCCUACCAAGCCUACGAUCUGUAGCUGGUCUGAGAGGACGACCAGCCACACUGGGACUGAGACA
rnacentral:rRNA from 1 species